UAGGGAAUCUUCGGCAAUGGUGGGAACCCUGACCGAGCAACGCCGCGUGAGUGAAGAAGGUUUUCGGAUCGUAAAGCUCUGUUGUUAAGGAAGAACGAGUGUGAGAAUGGAAAGUUCAUACUGUGACGGUACUUAACCAGAAAGGGACGGCUAACUACGUGCCAGCAGCCGCGGUAAUACGUAGGUCCCGAGCGUUGUCCGGAUUUAUUGGGCGUAAAGCGAGCGCAGGCGGUUAGAUAAGUCUGAAGUUAAAGGCAGUGGCUCAACCAUUGUAGGCUUUGGAAACUGUUUAACUGGAGUGCAGAGGGGGAGAGUGGAAUUCCAUGUGUAGCGGUGAAAUGCGUAGUUAUAUGGAGGAACACCGGUGGCGAAAGCGGCUCUCUGGUCUGUAACUGACGCUGAGGCUCGAAAGCGUGGGGAGCGAACAGG
rnacentral:rRNA from 1 species